AUCUAUAUAGUAUAUUAGUACAUUUAACUUCCAAUUAAAAAGUUUAUUUAUAAUAAUAUAGAUA
rnacentral:tRNA from 1 species